GUAAAAUAUUCUUUCAACUUUAAACAGUAAGAGACUCAGAAGUCUCAACCUAAGAAGAUCAUGAUGAAAACCCAAAUUGCGGCCUUAUCCAUCGAAAAUCCUCACGGUAUCAAAGGGUUUGUCAAUCAAAUCAUAUGGAAGUUUGUUGAACAAUCACAAUGAAAAUAGACCCUGCUGGGUUGGUAGUGAAAUUGUCCUUCCGCCUUCAGUUGGCUUCUAUGCUUAUUGCAAUUAACGUUGUACUCUAACUGUUCGACAAAUUUCAUGAAAGAGAAGUUUAUCGAUCUUUGCUCAACCCUUGCUAUGAGAAGUUUGAAAUUGUCUUUUAAGGGGUGUAAUUGGUGCAGGAAAUUCUCAUGUUUUCUGGGUUUAUGCAAAGCGAUUCUUUUGAAAAUAAUUUGAUCUUGUAAUUGUAUGAGAAUGAGAUUCCAGUUGUUGGGUGGUUACUCAUCAGUCAUUACUUUGUUUUAUGACCUUUUGACUAUCUAAAGUGAAUUACAUGGCUAUUCUUGGUGGAGAUUAACAAUAAGUUUCUUGAGGCAAGGUCCACUUCUUUGAAUUAUGAAAUUGAUCAUAUCAAUCAUUUUGAAGCCUUAACCAUUGACUCAAGAGAUGGUCAUUGGACACAUCCCUCAUAAUUCGCAUGAGUAAUGGAAAAAUUAUGAACCCACUUAAAAUCAUCGGUGUAAAUCAUGUAAAUAAUCACAACAGAAGCAGGGAUUUGCUUCUUUUUUUUUUGUUUGAAUCAAAAUCUUAUUGAUAUGCUGGGGUAGUAUUGAAAAUUGAAGUUAGCAACAAAUCUUCAUGAUUGGCUUGCCCUGGCAUGCAAGCGGCAACAAUACAAGGAAUGUAGAACUUGAAAAGGGAAUUUGUAAUCUGAAGUUGGUCAUUUGUCCAUCUAUUAGGCACUUCAGUAAGGAGAGAGUUGAUAUUGAUAUUGCGGCUAAAAUAAGAUAAGACAUGAGAUCAAGCUAUCAAGGGUAAAUAUGAUUUAGCUUUUCUAAUUCCGUAUGGACAAUGAUUUAUGCUUUAGAGCAAGAACAUGAUUACAUGAUUGCAAGGAUGAAUACAAGUGCCUCAUUGCACCUCUCCCUGUAGAUGCGCCUGUCGAGCGUUUGAACGACGCCUAUUUUCAGGCCGUUAAAACAUCUAAUCACAGGCGCCAAGGAAGAAGAAGCCCUCUAAGGCUGUCUAUGGUGUUGUUGACGCGGCACAGCAUUAUUAUGCUGAAUUUGUGACGUCGCAAUCCCAAUACCAAGCCGCUCCUCCUUCGGCCCUAAUAGUUAAUGAGAGGUUGGAUCAUUUUCAAGAAGUUUUGAAUCAAAUAGAUGAUCGCCUCAACAAUUCCAUUUCGAGGGAGGAGCAUAUGGCCCUUGUGGAGGAGCAACGCAAAACAAGGAAAGAGGUGAUCCAUUUGCUAUCCUUUGUGCGCACGCUGCUCCAGCAGAAUUCGGCUUUCCAGUAACCUCCUCCGCCUCCACCAUCCAGCUAAACCAUUUUUUUAGGUUAAUGUUGAAUUCUGUUCGGAUACUUUAUUUGGAAUUGCAUAAUUUAUUUGGCUGAUACUUUUAUGUUUUUUUAAUUUGUGUAUAAAUUUAGUUUCGUUCGUAUUCGAGCUUAUUUUUAUCAUUU